AGCUGCCUUACGUCAUUUCCGCCCACUCAAGCAGAGACAAAGAUGGCUACCAACGUGGAACGAAUUGAUGUCCGUGUUGGUUCUUUACCCUCAGAUGUUGUGGUACUCAAACAACCAUCAGUGGACCAGACUCAUCAGAACAACCCACUUCUAGGGCUACCUAUUGUGGCCAUCGAGGCAAUCCUCAAUUUUUUGUCAUACGAUGAAAUCAGUUUGCUGCGCUCGGUUUGUAAGCGAAUGGAUAUGAUCUGCCAGCGUGUUCUUAACCAGGGCUUCCUCAAGGUGGAGCGUUAUCACAGCAUGUGUCAGAGGCAAGUCAAAGCUCAACUUCCGAGACGAGAGUCUGAACGGAGAAAUCAUUCACUGGCUCGUCAUGCUGACAUACUCGCUGCUGUGGAGACGCGCCUUUCUCUCCUUAACAUGACGUUCAUGAAAUAUGUUGACUCCAACCUCUGCUGCUUCAUCCCUGGAAAGGUCAUCGAUGAAAUCUACCGUGUCCUUCGAUAUGUGAACUCGACUCGAGCUCCACAGCGAGCUCAUGAAGUUCUGCAAGAAUUGAGGGACAUCUCCUCCAUGGCAAUGGAGUAUUUUGAUGAGAAGAUUGUUCCCAUUCUGAAGAAGAAGCUGCCUGGAGCCGACUUGUCUGGGCGCCUCAUUGGUUCUGCUCCUGUGGCUGGCCCAUCAAGUUCUCUAACCACCAUGUCCUUGCUGGCCAAGAAUGCGCCAUCACGCUCCGAGAUGACCAAAGUGCAGCAGCAAGUGAAGGUCAAUGGAGCAUCUGUGACAGUUUUGCGGCGGGAGAUGCAAGAAAUUCGUGUCAAGCAGUUAGAACAACAGAAGCAGCUGCAGGACCAAGAACAGAAGCUGCUUGAACAGACACAUGUCAUUGGUGAACAGAAUGCCCGCCUUGCCGAACUGGAACACAAACUCCGUGAACUAAUGGACAGUAGUGCUAUGGGAGGAUCCACAGCCAGAACAUCUGUCCCCUCCACAUCCAAUGCUGCUGUGCCCUCUGCUGCUUCCAGUCUUUCUGCCAUGGGGUUAGAAAAUGGCAGGGCAGAAGCCUCCUCUACAGCCAGAGAACUGGCUUGUGAGGGAGAGCCAUCACUGAAGCGCAAUAGAAAAGGCGCAGACCUUUUACGAAAGUCAAAACGUUUGUGUAGCAAGAAAUGAAAUGGUAUUAUUUAAAUAUUCUCCUUUGGUUCUAAAAUCAGACUGUUUAUUCUUUAUCUCUGUUUGAUUUUCUUCCUGUGUUAUGUUUUCAUGGUAGUGAGAAAAUGUUUUUAUUCCUUGGGUUCCCUCAUUUAUGACUCAUCUCACCUUCACAGAAAAGCGAAAGAAAGAAUCUUGCGUCUCAAAUGUGUUUACAAUUGGGGGGGGAAAAAGAAUUAAAUUAAAAUUAAUUCAUAAAUUACUCAAUAUUGGGAAAUCACAUUUUUGGAACUUUAGUCAGGAAAAUAUGUUCGCAGACUGGGUGAAAGUUACUUUCGUGGACAAAUAAUUGGUACCCCUCUGUUAAUCAAAGAAAAACCCACAGUGGUCAUAUAAAUAAUUUUAACAAAAGUAAUAAUAAACUAGAAUUAGUCCAGUGGUUAGCACAUCGGCUUCACAGUGCAGAGAUACCGGGUUCGAUUCCAGCUCCGGCCUCCCUGUGUGGAGUUUGCAUGUUAUCCCCGGGCCUGCGUGGGUUUUCUCCGGGUGCUCCGGUUUCCUCCCACAUUCCAAAAACAUGCGUGGCAGGCUGAUUGAACACUCUAAAUUGUCCCUAGGUGUGAGUGUGAGCGUGGAUGGGUGUUCGUCUAUGUGUGCCCUGCGAUUGGCUGGCAACCGAUUCAGGGUGUCCCCCGCCUACUGCCCGGAGACGGCUGGGAUGGGCUCCAGCACCCCCCGCGACCCUAGUGAGGAUCAAGCGGUACGGAAGAUGAAUGAAUGAAUGAAUGAAUGCGAGCAAAGUGGUUCACAGUAUUCUGUUGGCUCAUUUGCAGCACCAGGUGAGCAUUAGUGCUAGCGCCCUUGAGAUAAAGUUCUGUCAGCCAUAUACGACUUUAUCUUAGACUUGGUUGCUCCGAGUCCUCCUUUGCACCAUUAUCGAAGGAUGUUCCACAGGGUUAAAUUCCGGGGCCUCAACUCUUUUCUUUGUAUCUGCUUCCAUUGGGUUCCAUCUUAAGGAAACAUGUUUUUUUUUGUUCCUUCCAUUGUUCUGCAGAUUACUGUCAGAUCUCUGUCCCAUGGAUCAAAAAAGACACUUUUUCACAGAGUCCACUUUUGUCCCGUCUGGAGGAAAUAAAGACCUGGAUGGCAUUGAA